AACGAACGCUGGCGGCAUGCCUAACACAUGCAAGUCGAACGACACCACCGGGUCUAGUGGCGCACGGGUGCGUAGCGCGGGGGACCCGGCCCUUAGAUUCGGAAUAACUCCCCGACAGGGGUGCUAAUACCGGAAAAUGUAUUCGGACCAAAGAUUGAUCGCGCUGGGUUGGGCACGCGUUGGAUUAGCCAGGUGGUAGGGUAAAAGCCUACCAAGGGGACGCUCCAUAGCUGGGCUGAGAGGAUGAUCCGCCACUCUGGGACUGGGACACGGUCCAGAAUCUUACGCGAUGCGGCAGUGGGGAAUAUUGGCCAACGGGCUAAAUCCUGAACCGCUACUGGCGCUUGAGUGAUGAAGUCGUUAGAGUUGUAAAGCACUUUUACCCGGGAUUAUUAUGACGGUACCGGGAGAAUAAGCUCCGGCUAACUCCGUG
rnacentral:rRNA from 1 species